rnacentral:rRNA from 1 species
GCGAGUCAUUGUAGUAAUACAAGGCAGACGGCUCAGUAACACGUAGUCAACCUACCCUAUGGACAAGAAUAAUCUCGGGAAACUGGGCAUAAUUCUUGAUAGAUCAUAAUGCCUGGAAUGGUUUAUGGUUAAAAUGAUUCGUCGCCAUAGGAUGGGACUGCGGCCUAUCAGCUUGUUGGUGAGGUAAUGGCCCACCAAGGCGAUUACAGGUACGGGCUCUGAGAGGAGAAGCCCGGAGAUGGGUACUGAGACACGGACCCAGGCCCUAUGGGGCGCAGUAGGCGAGAAAACUUUGCAAUGUGCGAAAGCACGACAAGGUUAAUCCGAGUGAUUUCUGCUAAAGAAAUCUUUUGCCAGUCAUAAAACCACUGGUGAAUAAGGGGUGGGCAAGUUCUGGUGUCAGCCGCCGCGGUAAAACCAGCACCUCAAGUGGUCAGGAUGAUUAUUGGGCCUAAAGCAUCCGUAGCCGGCUUUGUAGGUUUUCGGUUAAAUCCAUGUGCUCAACGCAUGGGCUGCCGAAAAUACCGCAUAGCUAGGGAGUGGGAGAGGUAGACGGUACUCAGUAGGAAGGGGUAAAAUCCUUUGAUCUAUUGAUGACCACCUGUGGCGAAGGCGGUCUACCAGAACACGUUCGACGGUGAGGGAUGAAAGCUGG